UACAGAGGUCUCAAGCGUUGUUCGGAUUCAUUGGGCGUAAAGGGUGUGUAGGUGGCGCGCUAAGUCGGGUGUGAAAUUUCGGAGCUUAACUCCGAAACUGCAUUCGAUACUGCGGUGCUUGAGGACUGGAGAGGAGACUGGAAUUCAUGGUGUAGCGGUGAAAUGCGCAGAUAUCAGGAGGAACACCGGUGGCGAAGGCGGGUCUCUGGGCCGAAACUGACGCUGAGGAGCGAAAGCGUGGGGAGCGAACAGG
rnacentral:rRNA from 1 species